GACGAACGCUGGCGGCGUGCCUAAUACAUGCAAGUUGAGCGCUGAAGGUUGGUACUUGUACCAACUGGAUGAGCAGCGAACGGGUGAGUAACGCGUGGGGAAUCUGCCUUUGAGCGGGGGACAACAUUUGGAAACGAAUGCUAAUUCCGCAUAAAAACUUUAAACACAAGUUUUAAGUUUGAAAGAUGCAAUUGCAUCACUCAAAGAUGAUCCCGCGUUGUAUUAGCUAGUUGGUGAGGUAAAGGCUCACCAAGGCGAUGAUACAUAGCCGACCUGAGAGGGUGAUCGGCCACAUUGGGACUGAGACACGGCCCAAACUCCUACGGGAGGCAGCAGUAGGGAAUCUUCGGCAAUGGACGAAAGUCUGACCGAGCAACGCCGCGUGAGUGAAGAAGGUUUUCGGAUCGUAAAACUCUGUUGGUAGAGAAGAACGUUGGUGAGAGUGGAAAGCUCAUCAAGUGACGGUAACUACCCAGAAAGGGGCGGCUAACUACGUG
rnacentral:rRNA from 1 species